rfam:Chryseobacterium arachidis strain DSM 27619 genome assembly, contig: Ga0131169_104
CCCUAGCCCCGAUUGCAACGGCAUCCUCUUGUGUUGCGGCUGGAGCAAAGCGGAAGCCGUAACACAAAAGAUAGAGUGGAAAGCGGGAAAAAGC